CAUUGAUCCUUGAAACUGAUACUCUGAGGAUUCUAAAAAUGCCGGCGAAGACAUAAAAAUAAUUAGUUGUCUAAUUUUAAUCAUUGGUCGAAGUUU